AAUGGGCGAAAGCCUGAUGGUGCGACGUCGCGUGAGGGAUGAAUGCCUUCGGGUUGUAAACCUCUGUCACCAAGGAGCAAAACCAGGUUCAUAGCCUGGCUUGAGUUAACUUGGAGAGGAAGCAGUGGCUAACUCUGUGCCAGCAGCCGCGGUAAUACAGAGACUGCGAGCGUUAUUCGGAUUCACUGGGCGUAAAGGGUGCGCAGGCGGCUAGGUGUGUUAGGUGUGAAAUCCCGGGGCUUAACUCCGGAACUGCGCCUAAAACUACCUAGCUAGAGUAUUGGAGAGGUAAGCGGAAUUCCAGGUGUAGCGGUGAAAUGCGUAGAUAUCUGGAGGAACACCAAAGGCGAAGGCAGCUUACUGGACAAUUACUGACGCUCAGGCACGAAAGCGUAGGUAGCGAAAGGGAUU
rnacentral:rRNA from 1 species